rnacentral:rRNA from 1 species
GUGGUAAUGCCGGAUGCUCCAGUUGAUCGCAUGGUCUUCUGGGAAAGCUUUCGCGGUAUGGGAUGGGGUCGCGUCCUAUCAGCUUGACGGCGGGGUAACGGCCCACCGUGGCUUCGACGGGUAGCCGGCCUGAGAGGGCGACCGGCCACAUUGGGACUGAGAUACGGCCCAGACUCCUACGGGAGGCAGCAGUGGGGAAUAUUGCACAAUGGGCGCAAGCCUGAUGCAGCGACGCCGCGUGAGGGAUGGAGGCCUUCGGGUUGUAAACCUCUUUUAUCGGGGAGCAAGCGAGAGUGAGUUUACCCGUUGAAUAAGCACCGGCUAACUACGUGCCAGCAGCCGCGGUAAUACGUAGGGUGCAAGCGUUAUCCGGAAUUAUUGGGCGUAAAGGGCUCGUAGGCGGUUCGUCGCGUCCGGUGUGAAAGUCCAUCGCUUAACGGUGGAUCCGCGCCGGGUACGGGCGGGCUUGAGUGCGGUAGGGGAGACUGGAAUUCCCGGUGUAACGGUGGAAUGUGUAGAUAUCGGAAAAGAACA